AUUGAACGCUGGCGGCAGGCCUAACACAUGCAAGUCGAGCGGUAACAGAAAGUAGCUUGCUACUUUGCUGACGAGCGGCGGACGGGUGAGUAAUGCUUGGGAACAUGCCUUGAGGUGGGGGACAACAGUUGGAAACGACUGCUAAUACCGCAUAAUGUCUACGGACCAAAGGGGGCUUCGGCUCUCGCCUUUAGAUUGGCCCAAGUGGGAUUAGCUAGUUGGUGAGGUAAUGGCUCACCAAGGCGACGAUCCCUAGCUGGUUUGAGAGGAUGAUCAGCCACACUGGGACUGAGACACGGCCCAGACUCCUACGGGAGGCAGCAGUGGGGAAUAUUGCACAAUGGGCGCAAGCCUGAUGCAGCCAUGCCGCGUGUGUGAAGAAGGCCUUCGGGUUGUAAAGCACUUUCAGUCAGGAGGAAAGGUUAGUAGUUAAUACCUGCUAGCUGUGACGUUACUGACAGAAGAAGCAACCGCUAAC
rnacentral:rRNA from 1 species